rnacentral:lncRNA from 1 species
AAAGAUCCUACCCAUCUACUAUUAGGGUGGGUAACUACAAAAGGGAGAUGAGUCUCAUUGGGUGGGAGGCAUCUUCAUUUGGUUGAAAGCUCGUAGAGUAUGUGUGAGGUUUCACUACUCUUGCUUGCCGGGAAUCUGCACACUCAAGCUGGAUAUUUCUCCACCAAACCAAGGCUGUUUGGUACACAUUUGUUGUGGUUUAACUUGCACACCUAAUCAACUCUACAUAGAAUUAUAGAAACCAAUGCUCUGGUACAUCAUCUGUCUCUCUUUUCUCACAGUCGCGUGAUUUUUCUGUUGUAGUUCUGUUUUUGAUAACUCUGUUUGGUUGAGUUGAAAGGUUUUUCUAUUGUAGCUCUGUUUACGUUGUAGACAAAUUCAGUCCACAAGGUGUUCGAUAGAUUGCCCGAGAGAGUUUCUUUGCUGCGAAUUGGGUCUUAUGACCUGUAUAUUUCAUAUUUAAAUCUAAUAGAAUAAUAAGAAUUACAUCACUCAUUAUAAAAAAAGGAUGAAUUAUGGCUAGCCUUCUUACUUUCGUGCAAUCUAAAUAUAUUAGCAUUACAAUCUGAUCCAUUUCGACUUUAGAGCAGCAGCAGCGUGAGUUAUUAUUGGGAUUUUGUAGUUUUCUCUCUGGUCUUGAUUCUAUUUUUUAUUGAAUUACAGAUGAUAAAAUUAUCAUACUUACAUUUUUAUUUAUUAUUAUCAUAUGGACUGUUAUGAUAACUUUAUUAACUACGUCCAGUUUUAUUAUACUUUGAGCAUUUUAAUCACUCUAGUUACCGAUGGCUUUGAGUUCGAUUACCACAACAUACUAUUCUGUUGGUAAUUUACAAAUACUGUUCUAAUUUUUCUAUUUUCUUUUUUUUUUCUAUCACCAUAUCUUUAAUUCAAACACAACUUUAUACUAUUGCCAUUUGUGGAGCUAUUAUAAAGUCAUCACUAGGCUUUUGGGCCACCAAUUUAAAGGACAAAGACAUGAUUUGCUGGAAUUUGUUUUCUCCUGGGUCUCGUAAGGUAUAAUAAACGGGCCAGACUUUUCAGAUUUCCAACAAAGAAAUUGGGCCUUUUAUAGGCUGCAAAUUUUAAGGCCUUCAAAGAAUAUACUUAAGCCUCUUGGGACUUCAGCAGUUAGAGGACAUUUGAGAACGGUAGCGUGCCACUUGGGACUUCUUGUUGGGUCACAAUCUUUUUUAUGCUUAGGUAAUUGGGUUUUGGGGCUGAAUUUUAAAGCCAUUUCAGGACUCAUAUUUGGCCCACCAAAAGGAAAAUGUCAUUAUAACAAAAAUUUUGUACAUAAACAACCGUCAUAAUAACGUGGGCAAUAUUAUAAUUAAAAAUAAUUUUGAUGGUUCUUUAUAUUUAAAUAAUAAAUUUAUAAUUAUGCUACGUUAUUCUGUAUAAAAUUUAUUAAGAUAAAUGAAGGUGUCUUUCAUUCUUUCUUUUUCUAAGCACCCUUUCUGUAGAGAAUCAUAUUUUCUCUCUCUUUACUUUCUUGGAAUUAUUUAAUUCAUCAUUUGUCUUAAAAGUUGGUGACUUAAUUGUUGGAAAAAACUUCAUUUUUUUAAAAAAAACUUAAACAACACACAAAAAAAAAACAAAAAAAAUUUCUUUGUUUAAACCAGAGCGUUGAAUCACAAAAGAAGAGAAGAAGAGAACAGAUUAUAAACCAAUGCAACUUAAGAUGCAGAAUUGUGAUUUGGCUGAGGCCUGAAUUAAAUCAGUGUACUUAAGGAUGUUUACAACCCGCACUUGGUACUUACGGAAUAUGUUUGUACGACUCCAGGAUACACAGCGUGCACAGGGACCUUUUCUGCCCAAAUUGAAAGGUUGCACCUAUUCAGGAUCAAAGGAAAACUUCUGGAAGAAAUUCGUAUAACCGCUUUGUUUAAAUCCGAAACGGUGUGACCGUUCGCCAACAAGGAAAUUAAUUCCGGGGAAGAAACGUAAUUUCUUAAUUUAGAAAUAAAAUAAUGAAUAAAUUUUUCUCAAGAAAAUAAAUUCAAUUAAGCCCAAAGCCCAAAGACGAGCCCGAGCCGAGCCCGGCGGGCGAGGCGGCGCAGCCGCACAGGGGUCAAUCCAUAAAGACCAUAGGCUUAAUGGAUCAGGACCACUUUAUACAUAACUCCUCCCCUUUAAAAACUUGUGGUGCCAAGGGCCCAAUUUAAAGGAGGUCCAUACUGAGGCUUUAUAUUUCCAUAACUUUCCUUUCUUUUUCCAUUUGGGACAACCUUUCUAUCCCCAUUUUUCCUUUGCAUUGAAGUUCUUUGAGACAACAAUUUCCAUUCAAAUUAACUUAUUUUUUGGACCCCAAUGAAUACACUAAUUCAUCUACUCAUUUAGAGAACAGAAUCUAUCAUGUUCAGUUAAUUUAGUGCUACGGAAAUUCAAAAAUUUAAUUCCAAAGUGUGUUCACAACAACACUCUCAAAAACCAAACUUCUAACAUUAAUUCAUAUAUAAAUUCCCAAAUAACAAGUCUUAUUGGCCAUAUUUUGUAUACU